rnacentral:lncRNA from 1 species
AAAAUCAUCCUCCUCGUACCAAACCGACCUCCGGUGUAACACCAUCGUAUCCCCACCGUCUCUCCACCUCCCGCCGUCGGCGGCGUAACUCCAAAUCCACCCAAAUUAACAUCUCAUAUUUCCCGUCUUCUCCUUGUUCCAACCCCCAUAACUCAGCCCUCAAAACACAGCCAAACACCUCGAAUAUCCGAGCAAAGGAGCGGCUGCUCCACCGUCCACGGAGGCGCCGGCUCCAAUGACUCCCAAAAACACACCUCAUACUCCCCUUGGCCUCCUCUACCCAAAAAUGAACCCUGUGUCCUUUGAACAACCCUCAAACGUUUCGAAUUUCAAAUCUAAAAUCGACCUAAUUCUGAGAUGGACUGUCAAAGCUAUACUUGGGUUCCCAAAUGGAAUUGCAUGUUCGUUUUGACCAAAAACAAAUAUGUAACUCUGUUGAGGAUUCAAGUCGAAUACAUCAGUCUAGUUGAAGAUCAAUCAGUAAGUGUUCACUUCCUUUUGUUUGCUUUUUUAUUUUUUACUUCUUUGUUGACAAUUUUGCCUUGCUUUAGUUUUAGUUAUUUGUUUUAAUUGGAAAUACUGAUUAGUUCUAUUUAGAUUUGAUUUUUUUUGUUACCCUUUAUUUCAAUUAUAAUUUUUAUUUUAGUUAGCCUAAGUACAAUCAACUUUUGGUUCCUGUUUGUAAAUAUUUUACUUGAUGAUUCUGUCGCAUUAGUUUUAGUUUUUUUUAAGCUUAGCAUAAGUUCUUGUUCUGUGACUUUCCACCUUUUUAGUUGAUAAUUUGAUAAUGAGUGUGAACUAGAAUUAUUUUUUCAGUAAUAGGAUGGCAUGUUAGUGUAGCUUUGCAUAUUUCUUUAAUUAUUUUAAUUUCAGCCUCUGGUUUAAACUUGUGCUCCAAUAGUUUGAGAAUUCUGAAUUGAAUUUUGAUUAUUUCUGAUUAAUGGUUCAGAUUUGAUUAUGGUUUUGGUUAUAGCUAUUAGUUAGCAUUAAUUAGUUUUUAAGAUUUAGCUUAAUAGAAGUGGUAAUUUUAGUAUACUAGAAGGGUAGUAUUGAGUUUAGUUGAUUUAGUUCUGGUAAUUUCAGGAUAAAACAAGGGUACCAUAGGUAUUCUAUAAAUAAGAAAUAAUUCUAGAAUCCUUUAGACUCUUCUAGAAGAGGACCAUAGUAUGAAAUUCAAUAGUUUUAGUUCAAUGACUUGGGAACAAGGCAGAAAAUAAAGGACCAAGUAGGUAAAAUUUAAAAAUUGAAAGAGGGACUAGUAGUUAAAAUAAAAUAAAGGGGUUGCCCUAGCCUUUGGAUAUGAAAGGGCAUCCCUAUUCAUUCAAAAAAGCAUAUACACAGUCUGAAAAUCUCAAACAAUUCUCAGAUAUUUUGAAGCCUAAAAAAAAUCUCAAAAAUUCCUGAAAAUUUCGAGAAAUCCAAAGCUUAUUGAAGUUAUCAAAUUCUCUGAAAUUUAGUGGUUUUACUGUUCCAUCAUAUCCCUUUUCCUCAGAAUAAUCAUAAUUUCAGCUGUCCAGUAUAUGUUUUAGCUCUAUAGGAUGAAAAUCUGACCUAAAAUAUGUUUAUUUGAGGUGUUAAGGUUUCAACGGUUGUCCUGGGUUCAUAUUUUAGCUGGUUGGGGUUCAUUUGAGCUAUUUGAUUGGUUUUUGCUCGUUUGAGUUUGGGUUCAAAUCUUCCUGGUUAUUUAGAAGCAUUCAUGGGCUCAUUAACCGCUCAUAAGCUGUGGAUUCCUAUGAUUGUUUUGCUGUAUGACUUCGCUGACCCUCAGUUUUGUUUUUAUUCGAAUUCCAGGUACCUUUUCAAUACCCAAUGAUGUAUGAAGUUUGAACUUAAUAAAUCCUCAAGUUGAAGAUGCAUAUUAUUUGUUCUUUCAUCAGUUUUAUUACAAUUAUGUUUGUUAUAGUUGAGAUAAUUGCCCUGUAAUAAUUGGACAUUUAGACUGAUUUUCCCUGUAAUAAUUGGACAUUUUGGAUUGAUA